rnacentral:rRNA from 1 species
GCCAGCCCGCUCAGAAACUACAAAGGAAUUGACGGGGCCCGGCACAAGCGGAGGAGCAUGUGGUUUAAUUCGAUGAUACGCGACGGAACCUUACCUGGGCUCGAAACGUAAGAUGACUGUAGGUGAAAGCUUACAUCUCUUCGGAGCAUUUUACGAGGUGCUGCAUGGUUGUCGUCAGCCCGUGCCGUGAGGUGUCGGGUUAAGUCCCAUAACGAGCGCAACCCCUACCUUUAGUUGCCAUCAGGUUAAGCUGGGGACUCUAAAGGAACUGCCUACGCAAGUAGUGAGGAAGGUGGGGAUGACGUCAAAUCAGCACGGCCCUUACGUCCAGGGCUACACACGUGCUACAAUGGCCGAUACAGAGGGCAGCUACCUGGUGACAGGAUGCAAAUCUCCAAAGUCGGUCUCAGUUCGGAUCGGAGUCUGCAACCCGACUCCGUGAAGUUGGAUUCGCUAGUAAUCGCGCAUCAGCCAUGGCGCGGUGAAUACGUUCCCGGGUCUU